UCACAUAUGAGUGACGAGUGAUAUCCCUGCAGUGAGCACCAACCAUUUGGUUUUUUGGUGUGAUACCAACAUUAAUGUGGAUAUGGCCUUAAAAGUUCUUGUGGUAACAUUGCUGUGGAUUAAAGUGGAUGUGGGUUAAUUGUGGAAGUGGUCAACACUGGCUUUGAUUAUUGGCCCUCCACCAUGUAGACCAAAAAAAUUCUGGCCCCCAGUACUACAAAAGUUGGACAGCACUACACUACUGACUUGCACCAAGUAAAUUGAUGGACACAAGGGUUACCCUGGAAUUUGGGGAAAAAAGCUGCAUUGUGGGUAAAAAAAACAUGGCAAUUUGCAUCAUUUUUAGAUGAGGGCAGUGUUUAAGGGGCACGCAGGUCACUGGUAGUCUUUACUACAAUGUUUAGCUCUUGGUCCUCAAGCUGUUGCUGUUUGGCUGUCAUGUUGCAAGUUACAGUAUAGUGCAAAAAUAGCCUGAUUAAGCAUUUUUCCACAUGCCUAUUUUAAGUUAUUUUUACUCACUUUAGAGGAUCUACUCUUUCUCUAUUGCCCUGAACUUUUCUCCAGCUUGACCCUAUUAGGGAGACUAUGGUUUUGGUUUGUAUUAAAAAACACAUUAUAUGAGGCUUGCUUAAAAACAAGAACGUUGGUUUACUCUUCCUUCCAACAUUUGCUCACAAAAAUAGAUAAUAUAUCAUUAUAAUCUUCAGUGUAUUGUGGGCGAAAACAGUGCCUUUAUGCCCCAGGGCUUAGAUGCAUGAUUUUAUCAUCACACCAACCCCAGCUGUCCCAUUCCUUUGGGACAGUUAAGAUAUAAGAGGCUGAAAAUGCAGAAGGGGUUGUCCUGGGCUGGGUUUGUGUGGCUUAUGGCCAUUGGCCAAGGGUGGCUACAUUGGAGGCGUGACCAGAAAGUCUUUGUUCUUAUAUGAUGUGGAGCAGUAUAUGUUAGAUGCAAGCAACUAACCCUGUAUCAUGGUAGUUAUAGCUCAUGCUCAGCUAUUAUGGAUCUCUCAUUUUAUUUUCUAUUUACAUAACACUUCCACAGUUUCUAAGUGCAGGUUGUAAAACUGUAAUUUCAGGCUUUUGUUGGAUUUUAACUGGCUACAGCUGUUUUGAAAAACUCCGGUUGCAUACAAACGUUCAAGGGUAGGUCUGGCUCAUCUACUAACAGUGGAAUGGACCAAGUAUGUUUCUUUAAAAUAGUCCUUGUCAUUCAAUCUCCUGUAGACAGAGGUGGCAGAUGAACUAAAUAGAGGUCACUCCCACAGGCUUCGUUAGACAUAUAGCAGAGAAGAAAAUCAUUCCACCUUUCACAUCUACUUAGCAGGCUCAGGAAUUAAGCAGGAACAACCACUCAAAAAGCUACGGGAAGAAUGGACACAGAGGCUGGAAUCCAGGAUCAGACUGCUACAGUCUUUCCAUGAGGACCAAAAGAAGCAGCUUUGUGGAGGAUCAAAGGAAGCCCAACAGCACAAUGCAAACACUGCAGCCUAAAAUCCAC